rnacentral:lncRNA from 1 species
ACAUGGGAAGCAUAGACAAAGCAGAUCUAAUUAGGAUCUCCUGCAUUUUUGCAAAACUCAAAGUACAGGGUUCAAGGAGAACAAAAAGAUCAUAUUACGGAUAUGACAAGCUUGAAUAAGAGGUCAGUUAGGCAUAUUUCAUACAUGAUAACUAUUAUUAUAAUGACACUGCUGCUGAUAUUAACCUCUGAAUCUUCAUCACUGGAGUCUUCCCCUAAAUCUCCUCCUCUUCACUUCAAGCCAAUCAAGGUCCAGAAGAAGCAGGGCUAUGGAAAACAGUACGGCGUCCACCACCCAGCAGAGGUAGUAGAAGACUACGGUCCCUGGGAUCCUUCACCGGGCUCCGGUGGAGGAAACUACUCACCCAUUCCCCAUGGAGAAGUUUCAUGAAUUAGUUCCUACCACUGGAACCUAUAUUCUCAUUAUCUUAAUUGUAUUAUCAUGC